rnacentral:rRNA from 1 species
GAUCAUGGCUCAGGAUGAACGCUGGCGGCGUGCCUAACACAUGCAAGUCGAACGGACUUACAUUGAAGCCUAGCGAUAUGUAAGUUAGUGGCGGACGGGUGAGUAACGCGUGGGUAACCUGCCUUGUACUGGGGGACAACAGUUGGAAACGACUGCUAAUACCGCAUAAGACCACAGCACCGCAUGGUGCAGAGGUAAAAACUCCGGUGGUAUGAGAUGGACCCGCGUCUGAUUAGCUGG